CCCAUGCCAGUUCGCUGAAUCCGACUCUCCAGGUGCUGGAUGGAGCUGCCUCUCUACCUGGUGUUGGCUGAUUUCAGUGUGGCUUCCCGAGGGCAGGAGAUACUGUGGGUCACAGAAGAAUCAGUCUAGAUGGAGAAAACCAAGACUGCUCCCAGAGAGAAGACAGACAAAAGAAAACAAGCGUCUUCCAUCCCUCAUCUCGGCAUAGCAGAUACUGAGG
rnacentral:lncRNA from 1 species